rnacentral:lncRNA from 1 species
UUAUUUUGCCUUUGGAUCCUCACCGACUGCAAGUAAAUUUCAGUAGAAAAACUGCAUCAUGCUCAAAUUCUAGUCGGAAAGGAGUUUCCUUAGUUGCUUCCUUAGGGUAAGUUCAACAAACCCAUGGAGAUUGAUUUAGUGUUUUGUGCCAAUUUCUAGGUUUUUGGCCUACAUGUUUUUUAAUUAAACUGAUUAUUAUUUUGUUUGCC